CUUGCAUGGUUUUAAGGAGCAGGUUGGGGAGGAGAACUGGCAACAGUUUUCAGAGCAGUUCCCACCACUGCUGAAGGAGAGACUGGCAGCCUGCUAUGGGGUUUAGAUUCUCUACACCCACCUAAGAGGUGAGCCAGCAGGAGGAGGGUGAAUGGGAAACUCAUCCAUCUGUGUAUUGCACUGCCCUGAUCUGGGGGGAGGGAGAGGGAUGCUAUUGGCCGCUCCCCCUGAUGGACGGCCCCCACGCCCUAUGUGUUUGUCCAUAGAGGGAGGGUAGGCGGGUGGGAGGGAGGGACAGGGAGGACACCUCUAGAUUAACUAGGCAGGGACCCGACACAGAAAAACUAACUGGUAGGGACAGAUAGAGAGGGACAGAGAGAAGGAGAUGGAGGGAGAGACAGGAUGGGGAAGAGGGGAGGCAGGGAGAGAUACCAGCAUAGAGAGAGUUCAGGGAAAGAAAGGGAGGGAAUUCAGUAAUAAGGAAGGGAAACAAGAGCCACAGAAGGGUCUGUUACUUGGCUUUGAGGACAGGGACAGCUGAGAUUUUAAUGGGAUUCUUAAACUUAAGAGUAAUAGAUUUCUUGACUGACAGAGACAGACCAAUGAAAACAGACUCUCACACUUUAACUUGCACAUGCUGUACAUUCAGUACAUGUAACAGACUGAGAGUGGCACUAUAAUUUAGACUUUUUAAGACCUACUACAUGUAGUUAGGGACCGACAGGUGUCUAAACUCUGUUCAUUUUCUGGGUAUUACAUUUCUUUUCCGGGGAAUAGGAUUCAAUAUAAAUUACUUCAUCCAUAGUCACUGAAACAAUACUUAACUGUAAGAUAAUCUAGCUAUCUUCAUCUGUUUCCUACCUUCAUUUUUGACCAGAGUGCUGCUUCACAGAGCUUUCUAUCGAUCAGACGUAUUCCUGUCACAUUUUCUACCUGAUCAAACUAGAGUAAGAGAGCAGGAGGGAAAAAAAACUAAGCAUCUUUUCCUCGUGGCUUCACAGCAACCAUUCCUCUAGGAAGGGAGGAUUAGGGCUAACACAUUUGUUUUCUCACCAGAGGGGGAGGAAAUCUUACCAAGAAAAUCACAUUUUUAGUUGUCUCUGUGCAGUUUUGUGCGUGUGAAUGUGCACGCGCGUGUGUGCGCAUGUGCAGUUUAUAAAUCCUUACUUCGGCAUUCUGUGUUAACAGUGUGUGAAAUGUGUAUUGUUUUUCAUAUGGUACCGAGCUAAAACUUGACUCCCACCGCGAUGUCCUUUGGCACCUGUUAACUGUGACCAAGUGUGUGUGUGUUUGUUUGUUUUUUGUAUGUGUGUGUGUGUGAGUGUGUAUGUGUUUGUCUACAUUCGUACUGAUAUCCAUUUGAUGCCAUAUCAAUAUCUUAAGUAAAACAGUGAUUGGCAGUGUCAUUGUGAUCUUUAUAAUGUUUUAAAACUGGUCCUUUUUUUUGCUGCUACUGUUGAUUCUUGUUUUUGUUUUUUUUAUAUAGUGGAUUUAAAUUCGCACACUUAACACAAAAAAACGAAUUAAUGCUAUUUUCAGUGACUGUUAAGUUGUUUUUUGCACUUUUUUUUAUUUUAUUUUACCUAUAUUUCUUUUUUGUAUGGAUUUUUUUAACCUCACCCAUAUGAUAUGUCUUGACCCUAAUGUCAGUGUUUGUCAUACUGUGUUGCACUGUGAAAUUAAGUGUCUGUGACUGGCAAAAAUAUCCCAAUACUAAAUGGCAAAUAAAAAUAACUUUGUGAAACUGCGA